rnacentral:rRNA from 1 species
CCUACGGGAGGCAGCAGUGAGGAAUAUUGGUCAAUGGCCGAGAGGCUGAACCAGCCAAGUCGCGUGAGGGAAGAAUGUCCUAUGGAUUGUAAACCUCUUUUGUCAGGGAGCAAAGUCACCCACGUGUGGCUGUUGGAGAGUACCUGAAGAAAAAGCAUCGGCUAACUCCGUUCCAGCAGCCGCGGUAAUACGGAGGAUGCGAGCGUUAUCCGGAUUUAUUGGGUUUAAAGGGUGCGAAGGCGGUUUAUAAAGUCAGCGGUAAACUCGUGGAGCUCAACUCCAGCCAGCCGUUGAUACUGAUGAUCGUGAGUGGGCGAGAAGUAUGCGGAAUGCGUGGUGUAGCGGUGAAAUGCAUAGAGAUCACGCAGAA